GUGCUUCAACAGCACAUAUGCUAAAAUGGGAACAAUACAGAGAUUAGCAUGGCCCCUGCACAAAGGUGGCACACAAACUCAUGAAGCGUUCCAUAGUUUU
rnacentral:snRNA from 1 species